CACACACACACAUACACACACACGCCCGCAUGGGAACGAACACAUCAAAAACAGUGAAAAAUUCCUUCCACACAUUCACAUGCCUUCUAGUGGAAACUUGUCCAAAUGAAUUAAUCACUUUACUCAGCAGCCAAGUGGAUGAUGUGUCUAUUGUUGCUGCUGACAGGCGGCGCGGCGCAGAGGAUAUAAAAGAAAAGGCUCAAAGAAAAAGAAGAAACAAUAGGGAAGCAUCUUGCUGGCGGUGACAGGGCAGGGCGCAGGGC